GACGAACGCUGGCGGCGUGCUUAACACAUGCAAGUCGAACGGGCCUUGUCCCCUUUUUUUUGGGGGUGGGGUUAGUGGCGAACGGGUGAGUAACACGUGAGUAACCUGCCCCUCACUUCUGGAUAACCGCUUGAAAGGGUGGCUAAUACGGGGUGUUCUGGCCUGCUCGCAUGGGUGGGUUUGGAAAGUUUCGACCGGUUUUGGUUGUUUUGGUGGGGGGUGGGCUCGCGGCCUCUCAGCUUGUUGGUGGGGUGGUGGCCUGCCAAGGCUUUGACGGGUAGCCGGCCUGAGAGGGUGGGCGGUCACACUGGGACUGAGACACGGCCCAGACUCCUACGGGAGGCAGCAGUGGGGAAUAUUGCACAAUGGGCGCAAGCCUGAUGCAGCGACGCCGCGUGAGGGAUGGAGGCCUUCGGGUUGUGAACCUCUUUCGCCAGUGAAGAAGGUCCUGCUCUUUGUGGUGGGGUUGACGGUAGCUGGGUUAAUGAAGCGCCGGCUAACUACGUG
rnacentral:rRNA from 1 species